ACCCAUGACUAUGACGUGAAAAUGCGCGCGCUGGAAAAGUUUAUCGGCGAAGGCGACAAGGUCAAGGUCACGAUGCGAUUCCGCGGUCGCGAAAUGGCGCAUCAGGACAUCGGUCUGGGCUUGCUCAACAAGGUCAAGGACCAGUUCGAGGAAGUUGCCAAGGUCGAGUCGUCUCCACGGUCAGAAGGCCGGCAGAUGGUUAUGGUGCUCGCUCCGCGCUGAGCCCUCGCCUCGACAAGCACAUUCAAAGGUGGUCGCAAGGCCACCUUUUUUGUUAUCCCCAGUCGCCAUGCAUACAGAUGCAAA
rnacentral:misc_RNA from 1 species